AUUGAACGCUGGCGGCAUGCCUAACACAUGCAAGUCGAACGGCAGCACAGCAGUAGCAAUACUGUGGGUGGCGAGUGGCGGACGGGUGAGGAAUACGUCGGAAUCUGCCCAGUCGUGGGGGAUAACUAGCCGAAAGGUUAGCUAAUACCGCAUACGACCGAGAGGUGAAAGCGGGGGACCGCAAGGCCUCGCGCGAUUGGAUGAGCCGACGUCGGAUUAGCUAGUUGGCGGGGUAAAGGCCCACCAAGGCGACGAUCCGUAGCUGGUCUGAGAGGAUGAUCAGCCACACUGGAACUGAGACACGGUCCAGACUCCUACGGGAGGCAGCAGUGGGGAAUAUUGGACAAUGGGCGCAAGCCUGAUCCAGCAAUGCCGCGUGUGUGAAGAAGGCCUUCGGUUGGUUAAAGGACACUUUUAUUCAGGAACGAAAAGACGUU
rnacentral:rRNA from 1 species